CCUACGGGUGGCAGCAGUGAGGAAUAUUGGUCAAUGGGCGCGAGCCUGAACCAGCCAAGUCGCGUGAGGGAGGACGGCCCUACGGGUUGUAAACCUCUUUUAUAAAGGAAUAAAGUGAGGCACGUGUGCCUUUUUGUAUGUACCAUAUGAAUAAGGAUCGGCUAACUCCGUGCCAGCAGCCGCGGUAAUACGGAGGAUCCGAGCGUUAUCCGGAUUUAUUGGGUUUAAAGGGAGCGUAGGUGGAUUGUUAAGUCAGUUGUGAAAGUUUGCGGCGCAACCGUAAAAUUGCAGUUGAAACUGGCAGUCUUGAGUACAGUAGAGGUGGGCGGAAGUCGGGGUGUAGCGGUGAAAUGCUUAGAUAUCACGAAGAACUCCGAUUGCGAAGGCAGCUCACUGGACUGCAACUGACACUGAGGCUCGAAAGUGUGGGUAUCAAACAGGAGUAGAUACCCGGGUAGUC
rnacentral:rRNA from 1 species